GACGAACGCUGGCGGCGUGCUUAACACAUGCAAGUCGAGCGGUAAGGCCCUUUCGGGGGUACACGAGCGGCGAACGGGUGGGUAACACGUGGGUGACCUGCCCUCAGCUCUGGGAUAAGCCUGGGAAACCGGGUCUAAUACUGGAUAUGACUCCAUGACGCAUGUUGUGGGGUGGAAAGCCUUGUGCGGCUGAGGAUGGGCCCGCGGCCUAUCAGCUUGUUGGUGGGGUGAUGGCCUACCAAGGCGACGACGGGUAGCCGGCCUGAGAGGGCGACCGGCCACACUGGGACUGAGACACGGCCCAGACUCCUACGGGAGGCAGCAGUGGGGAAUCUUGCGUAAUGGCGAAAGCCUGACGCAGCGACGCCGCGUGAGGGAUGACGGCCUGUGUA
rnacentral:rRNA from 1 species